rnacentral:lncRNA from 1 species
CCACAAGCGAGUUGGGGCAUUCAGACUGGGGCAUCGGUUAAAAGCUGUACAAGGUCACGGGUAGCAUGGAUUCAUCCAGUGGGUCAGUCAAUAGAGGUCAUUCAAUGUGACUUCUCAUGUAGCUUGCUGGAGGACACACACUGUCUUCUCUCUGAGAUCUUCAGUUAAAUCCUCAUUGUUCAACAUUAGCUCUCUGAGUGGAUUCUUUGGGAGCAACCUGAGGAGGGGCUGAACUUUACAUCUGGGUCCCUUUAGUGGAUAGCAGAGAUAAUCUCCUGGACUUGGGAGCCAGGGAAAAGCAGCCCUACAAACUGAAGCUAGACAACUUUAUAUAAACUUUGGGAGAAAUCAUCACAGCAACUUACAUGUAAACAACCUCCGUGCUUGUUGACGGAUGGACUACUCAGAAAGUCCACUGUGUUGACCUAAUGGAAGAAACUGAGGCAAAAUUAAUAUAAGUAGAGAGUUUAUUUGGGUCAAGUUUGAAGACUGCAGCCUGGAAGACAUAAAUUCAAGUUGCCCUGAAUAUAUCCUCCAAUUAGCAGCAGUUACAAGCUGUAGAGGAAGCAUGGCAGCAGGUUGCCUCAGCUUCUGGUGAAGUUCAGGAAGCUUCCAAUCAUGGCAGAGGCAAAGUGGGAGCAGACGCAUCACAUGGUGAGAGCAGGAACAAGAGAGAGAAGGGGGGGGCCCAGAUUCUUUUACACAACCAGAUCUCGUGUGAACUGAGUGAAAACUCGCCCAUCACCAAGGGGAUGGUGCUAAGCCAUUCAUGAGGAUCCACCUCAACGGUCCAGUCACCUCCCUCCAGGCCCCACCUCCAACAAUGAGGAUCACAUUUCAAUGUGAGGGGACAGAGAUCCAAAUCAUAGUAAGUACUCUGGACCUUCACCUUUGUUUUUCUUCUGUUUCCAUAGAAAGGCAUCUUAUUAAAGAUCUGUUUGCCUGCACUAUAUAUAGAGGCCUAGCUUUGAGAGCCCCUCUGCAGCGCCAUCUCCUGAAAUGAGACAUGACUGUUUAAUUGAACUGACCUAUUUCUAGAAACAGGAGACUGGUUUAAUGGGAUCCUUUGCCACUUGGCUAUUAACUCAAUUUUUCUCUGCACAGCCACUAACUCAGCUUUUAAAGUAUGAAACUUCUAGGGAAGUUUCAGAAAGGUAAUGUUGGGGUUCAGAAAAUGAUACCUUGAAGUCUGGACAUGCUGAAAGGCCUUAGAAGUGGCCUCAGAGUCAAUGUCCCUCUAACCUUGUCUGUCUCCCACCCCCAACCCCAACCAAAUGAAGAAAUACAAUUGUCUUCCUCCCUUCCCUGAAAUCUCAUUAUCUAUCUCAGAAAAGAAGACUGAAGAAUGCAACCACACUUGGAUGGACUUUUUCAGAAGAUAAUGCCUGCCACUGGAGGCUCAUUCAAAUUUCAAAGAGAAUCUAUAGUUAAUUUCUGUUCAUUCAUAUUUCCUAAUAAUCAUUUGCAGCUCCUCAAAAGAAUUGUCUGAAUUCUUCAUCUCCUUCCUCCCCUAUGAAAAAGAGUAUAUAAGCUUCUGAACCCCAUUGGGUUAUUCUGUACCCCAUUG